CAGUAGCCACGGUAAUACGUAGGGUGCGAGCGUUAAUCGGAAUUACUGGGCGUAAAGCGUGCGCAGGCGGUUGUGUAAGACAGGUGUGAAAUCCCCGGGCUUAACCUGGGAACUGCGCUUGUGACUGCACAGCUAGAGUAUGGCAGAGGGGGGUGGAAUUCCACGUGUAGCAGUGAAAUGCGUAGAGAUGUGGAGGAACACCGAUGGCGAAGGCAGCCCCCUGGGCCAAUACUGACGCUCAUGCACGAAAGCGUGGGGAGCAAACAGGAUUAGAUACCCGCGUAGUCCCUGUCUCUUAUAC
rnacentral:rRNA from 1 species